GUCAUUUUGGAUCAAGAUGGCUGUUACAUAUCUCUGACCUCGUCAGUCCAUCAGUAAUCAGUAAAGGAACAAAUCAUGUAAGGCUUUAUUUAUAAGCAAGGAACAUACCUGUUUAACCAGAGCAAAUGGAAUUGCCAUACCUGCUUCCCACUUGCGUGUCAACCCCUCACGUACAUGUUAAAAAUGAACGCAUAAGCUUUAUUGCCAUUGCACCUACCGGAGAGGCUAGGCUGUACUAUCCCAGCGAAGCCCUGUAGUGGUGCCAGCAUCGAUGGGGCGUCAAAAUUAUGCAGCGGAGGGCAAGAGCCAAGUGCAGGAGCAUCGGCUGUAGGGGUGUCUCAAAUGCGUCCGUUGGGCAGCAGCCGAGCGUCGAAGCGGUGGACGGCAAUGGCCUCCUGCGCUCCAGGAGAGGCCAGCGAGUAGCAGAUGUUGAUGCCAACUGCAUUGCUUCAUUUGUGUAAGAAAGAAUAGGAAAAAUUGCAUUGCUUCACCAUCCCCAGCAUUAGAGUGCAGCCGGUGCCGGUCGACCAUCGAGUAGCAGCGAGGGGUAGCGGCCUUGACAGGGACCUUAUUGUUCACUGGCUUCAGGUGGCCCGCACUG
rnacentral:rRNA from 1 species